rnacentral:rRNA from 1 species
AGAGUUUGAUCCUGGCUCAGGACGAACGCUGGCGGCGUGCCUAAUACAUGCAAGUAGAACGCUGAAGGAGGAGCUUGCUUCUCUGGAUGAGUUGCGAACGGGUGAGUAACGCGUAGGUAACCUGCCUGGUAGCGGGGGAUAACUAUUGGAAACGAUAGCUAAUACCGCAUAAGAGUGGAUGUUGCAUGACAUUUGCUUAAAAAGUGCACUUGCAUCACUACCAGAUGGACCUGCGUUGUAUUAGCUAGUUGGUGGGGUAACGGCUCACCAAGGCGACGAUACAUAGCCGACCUGAGAGGGUGAUCGGCCACACUGGGACUGAGACACGGCCCAGACUCCUACGGGAGGCAGCAGUAGGGAAUCUUCGGCAAUGGACGGAAGUCUGACCGAGCAACGCCGCGUGAGUGAAGAAGGUUUUCGGAUCGUAAAGCUCUGUUGUAAGAGAAGAAUGAGUGGGAGAGUGGAAAGUUCACACUGUGACGGUAUCUUACCAGAAAGGGACGGCUAACUACGUGCCAGCAGCCGCGGUAAUACGUAGGUCCCGAGCGUUGUCCGGAUUUAUUGGGCGUAAAGCGAGCGCAGGCGGUUAGAUAAGUCUGAAGUUAAAGGCUGUGGCUUAACCAUAGUAGGCUUUGGAAACUGUUUAACUUGAGUGCAAGAGGGGAGAGUGGAAUUCCAUGUGUAGCGGUGAAAUGCGUAGAUAUAUGGAGGAACACCGGUGGCGAAAGCGGCUCUCUGGCUUGUAACUGACGCUGAGGCUCGAAAGCGUGGGGGGCAAACAGGAUUAGAUACCCUGGUAGUCCACGCUGUAAACGAUGAGUGCUAGGUGUUAGACCCUUUCCGGGGUUUAGUGCCGUAGCUAACGCAUUAAGCACUCCGCCUGGGGAGUACGACCGCAAGGUUGAAACUCAAAGGAAUUGACGGGGGCCCGCACAAGCGGUGGAGCAUGUGGUUUAAUUCGAAGCAACGCGAAGAACCUUACCAGGUCUUGACAUCCCUCUGACCGCUCUAGAGAUAGAGCUUUCCUUCGGGACAGAGGUGACAGGUGGUGCAUGGUUGUCGUCAGCUCGUGUCGUGAGAUGUUGGGUUAAGUCCCGCAACGAGCGCAACCCCUAUUGUUAGUUGCCAUCAUUUAGUUGGGCACUCUAGCGAGACUGCCGGUAAUAAACCGGAGGAAGGUGGGGAUGACGUCAAAUCAUCAUGCCCCUUAUGACCUGGGCUACACACGUGCUACAAUGGCUGGNNNNNNNNNNNNNNNNNNNNNNNNNNAAAGCCGGUGACGGCAAGCUAAUCUCUUAAAGCCAGUCUCAGUUCGGAUUGUAGGCUGCAACUCGCCUACAUGAAGUCGGAAUCGCUAGUAAUCGCGGAUCAGCACGCCGCGGUGAAUACGUUCCCGGGCCUUGUACACACCGCCCGUCACACCACGAGAGUUUGUAACACCCGAAGUCGGUGAGGUAACCGUAAGGAGCCAGCCGCCUAAGGUGGGAUAGAUGAUGGGGGUGAAGUCGUAAAAGGGUAGCCGUAUCGGAAGGUGCGGCUGGAUCACCU